rnacentral:rRNA from 1 species
AGUGAACGCUGGCGGUAGGCCUAACACAUGCAAGUCGAACGGAAACACAGGAAGAGCUCGCCCUUACGGGUGGCGAGUGGCGGACGGGUGAGGAAUAGAUCGGAAUCUACUUAGACGGGGGGGAUAACGGGGGAAAAGUGACGAUAAUAGCGCAUACGACCAACGGGUGAAAGCAAGAGAGCAUGGGACCUUGGGCGACAGAAAGAGACGAUGUCGGAUUAGCUAGUUGGGAGGGUAAGGGCACACCAAGGCGACGAUACGUAGCGGGUCUGAGAGGAUGAUCAGCCACACUGGAACUGAGACACGGUCCAGACUCCUACGGGAGGCAGCAGUAGGGAAUCUUCGACAAAGGGCGAAAGCCUGACCCAGCCACGCCGCGUGAGUGAAGAAGGUCUUCGGGUUGUAAAGCUCUUUUAUUGGGAAAGAACAACAGCAUGUUAAUCCCUCCCCGUUCUGACGGUACCUAAACAGUAAGCCCCGGCUAACUUCGUG